UACAGAGGUCUCAAGCGUUGUUCGGAUUCAUUGGGCGUAAAGGGUGCGUAGGUGGCGCCAUAAGUCAGGUGUGAAAUCUCGGGGCUCAACCCCGAAACUGCACUUGAUACUGUGGUGCUCGAGUACUGGAGAGGAGAUUGGAAUUUACGGUGUAGCAGUGAAAUGCGUAGAUAUCGUAAGGAAGACCAGUGGCGAAGGCGGGUCUCUGGGCAAUUCCUGACGCUGAGGCGCGAAAGCGUGGGGAGCAAACGGG
rnacentral:rRNA from 1 species